AUUGAACGCUGGCGGCAGGCCUAACACAUGCAAGUCGAGCGGAACGGCGGACGGGUAAGUAAUGCCUAGGAAUCUGCCUGGUAGUGGUGGAUAACGUCCGGAAACGGGCGCUAAUACCGCAUACUAUCAGAUGAGCCUAGGUCGGAGUGGCUAGUGGGUGGGGUAAAGGCCUACCAAGGCGACGAUCCGUAACUGGUCUGAGAGGAGGAUCAGUCAAACUGGAACUGAGACACGGUCCAGACUCCUACGGGAGGAAGCAGUGGGGAAUAUUGGACAAUGGGGGAAAGCCUGAGCCAGCCAUGCCGCGUGUUGGAAGUAGGUCUUCGGAUUGUAAAGCACUUUAAGUUGGGAGGCGUUACCAACAGAAUAAGCACCGGCUAACUUCGUGCCAGCAGCCGCGGUAAUAC
rnacentral:rRNA from 1 species